CAUGUAUGUAAAAGUCUUGUUAUGAAUAUUAAUACAAGAUAAGAAUUGUUGUCAGGAAACAAGCACAUAUAUGUAAAGUUUGGUAUGAAUGUCACUACAGGAUAAGAAUUGUCAGGAAACAAGCACAUGUAUGUAAGUCUUGUUAUGAAUAUCGCUAUAAGAUAAGAAUUGUUGUCAGGAAACAAGCACAUGUAUGUAAGUUUCGUUAUGAAUAUUAAUACAAGAUAAGAAUUGUUGUCCGGAAACAAGCACAUGUAUGUAAAGUUUGGCAUGAAUGUCACUACAGGAUAAGAAUUGUUGUCAGGCAACAAGCACAUGUAUGUAACUCUUGUAAUGAAUGUUAAUACAAGAUAAGAAUUGUUGUCAGGAAACAAGCACAUGUAUGUAAGUCUUGUUAUGAAUAUCGCUAUAAGAUAAGAAUUGUUGUCAGGAAACAAGCACAUGUAUGUAAGUUUCGUUAUGAAUAUUAAUACAAGAUAAGAAUUGUUGUCCGGAAACAAGCACAUGUAUGUAAAGUUUGGCAUGAAUGUCACUACAGGAUAAGAAUUGUUGUCAGGCAACAAGCACAUGUAUGUAACUCUUGUAAUGAAUGUUAAUACAAGAUAAGAAUUGUUGUCAGGAAACAAGCACAUGUAUGUAAAUCUUGUAAUGAAUAUUAAUACAAGAUAAGAAUUGUUGUCAGGAAACAAGCACAUGUAUGUAAAUCUUGUAGUGAAUGUUAAUACAAGAUAAGAAUUGUUGUCAGGAAACAAGCACAUGUAUGUAAAUCUUGUAAUGAAUGUUAAUACAAGAUAAGAAUUGUUGUCAGGAAACAAGCACAUGUAUGUAAAUCUUGUAGUGAAUGUUAAUACAAGAUAAGAAUUGUUGUCAGGAAACAAGCACAUGUAUGUAAAUCUUGUAAUGAAUGUUAAUACAAGAUAAGAAUUGUUGUCAGGAAACAAGCACAUGUAUCCAAGAUUGUAUCAUAAAUUGAUGGAGCUCUAACCUGCAAGACAUGAAUAAUAUAUACACAUUUU